rnacentral:rRNA from 1 species
AGGUUAAGCUAGAAAGGGCGCACGGUGGAUGCCUUGGCACUAGGAGCCGAUGAAGGACGGGGCAAACGCCGAAACGCUCCGGGGAGCUGUAAGCAAGCGUGGAUCCGGAGAUGUCCGAAUGGGGGAACCCACUGCUCGUAAUGGGGCAGUAUCCAUGCCUGAAUCCAUAGGGCAUGGAGGGCACACCCGGGGAACUGAAACAUCUUAGUACCCGGAGGAGAAGAAAGCAAACGCGAUUCCCCGAGUAGCGGCGAGCGAAACGGGAACAGCCCAAACCAAGAGGCGUGUCCUCUUGGGGUUGUAGGACCGCUCAUGGUGGGAGUGAGAAAGGGACGGGGUAGACGAACCGGUCUGGAACGGCCGGCCAGAGAAGGUGAGAGCCCUGUAGUCGAAACUUCGUUCCCUCCCGAGCGGAUCCUGAGUACGGCGGGACACGAGGAAUCCCGUCGGAAGCAGGGAGGACCAUCUCCCAAGGCUAAAUACUCCCUAGUGACCGAUAGUGAACCAGUACCGUGAGGGAAAGGUGAAAAGCACCCCGGGAGGGGAGUGAAAGAGAACCUGAAACCGUGUGCCUACAAGUAGUCAGAGCCCGUUGAUGGGUGAUGGCGUGCCUUUUGUAGAAUGAACCGGCGAGUGACGAUGGCGUGCGAGGUUAAGCCGAAGAGGCGGAGCCGCAGCGAAAGCGAGUCUGAACAGGGCGAAAAGUACGUCGUCGUCGACCCGAAACCAGGUGAUCUACCCAUGUCCAGGGUGAAGGCCGGGUAACACCGGCUGGAGGCCCGAACCCACGCACGUUGAAAAGUGCGGGGAUGAGGUGUGGGUAGGGGUGAAAUGCCAAUCGAACUUGGAGAUAGCUGGUUCUCCCCGAAAUAGCUUUAGGGCUAGCCUCGGGCUUGAGAGUGUUGGAGGUAGAGCACUGAUUGGGCUAGGGGCCCAAACCGGGUUACCGAACCCAGUCAAACUCCGAAUGCCAACGACUUAUGCCCGGGAGUCAGACGGCGAGUGAUAAGAUCCGUGGUCGAGAGGGGAACAGCCCAGACCGCCAGCUAAGGCCCCCAAGUGCACGUUCAGUGGAAAAGGAUGUGGAGUUGCCAAGACAACCAGGAUGUUGGCUUAGAAGCAGCCACCAUUUAAAGAGUGCGUAAUAGCUCACUGGUCGAGUGACUCUGCGCCGAAAAUGUACCGGGGCUAAACGUGCCGCCGAAGCUGCGGGAUGACCGUUGGUCAUCGGUAGGGGAGCGUUCUAAGGGCAGAGAAGCCAGACCGGAAGGACUGGUGGAGCGCUUAGAAGUGAGAAUGCCGGUAUGAGUAGCGAAAACAGAGGUGAGAAUCCUCUGCGCCGAAAGCCUAAGGGUUCCUGAGGAAGGUUCGUCCGCUCAGGGUUAGUCGGGACCUAAGCCGAGGCCGAAAGGCGUAGGUGAUGGACAACAGGUUGAGAUUCCUGUACCACCUUCUUCCCGUUUGAGCGAUGGGGGGACGCAGGAGGAUAGGGCGAGCAGGCGGCUGGAAGAGCCUGUCCAAGCCGUGAGGCUGAUCCGCAGGCAAAUCCGCGGAUUGGAAGGCCGAGCGGUGACGGCGACGGAGUCAUCCGGAAGUCCCCGAUUUCACACUGCCAAGAAAAGCCUCUAGCGAGGGAAGAGGUGCCCGUACCGCAAACCGACACAGGUAGGCGAGGAGAGAAUCCUAAGGCGCGCGGGAGAACUCUCGUUAAGGAACUCGGCAAAAUGACCCCGUAACUUCGGGAGAAGGGGUGCUCUUUGGGGUGAAGAGCCCUGAAGAGCCGCAGUGAAAAGGCCCAAGCGACUGUUUAUCAAAAACACAGGUCUCUGCGAAGCCGAAAGGCGACGUAUAGGGGCUGACACCUGCCCGGUGCUGGAAGGUUAAGGGGAGCGCUUAGCGGAAGCGAAGGUGCGAACCGAAGCCCCAGUAAACGGCGGCCGUAACUAUAACGGUCCUAAGGUAGCGAAAUUCCUUGUCGGGUAAGUUCCGACCCGCACGAAAGGUGUAACGACUUGGGCGCUGUCUCAACGAGAGACCCGGUGAAAUUAUACUACCUGUGAAGAUGCAGGUUACCCGCGACAGGACGGAAAGACCCCGUGGAGCUUUACUGCAGCCUGAUAUGGAAUUUUGGUAUCGCUUGUACAGGAUAGGUGGGAGCCUGGGAAGCCGGAGCGCCAGCUUCGGUGGAGGCGGCGGUGGGAUACCACCCUGGCGGUAUUGAAAUUCUAACCCGCACCCCUUAGCGGGGUGGGAGACAGUGUCAGGCGGGCAGUUUGACUGGGGCGGUCGCCUCCCAAAAGGUAACGGAGGCGCCCAAAGGUUCCCUCAGAAUGGUUGGAAAUCAUUCGGAGAGUGCAAAGGCACAAGGGAGCUUGACUGCGAGACGGACAGGUCGAGCAGGGACGAAAGUCGGGCUUAGUGAUCCGGUGGUUCCGCAUGGAAGGGCCAUCGCUCAACGGAUAAAAGCUACCCCGGGGAUAACAGGCUGAUCUCCCCCAAGAGUCCACAUCGACGGGGAGGUUUGGCACCUCGAUGUCGGCUCAUCGCAUCCUGGGGCUGUAGUCGGUCCCAAGGGUUGGGCUGUUCGCCCAUUAAAGCGGUACGCGAGCUGGGUUCAGAACGUCGUGAGACAGUUCGGUCCCUAUCCGUCGCGGGCGGAGGAAAUUUGAGAGGAGCUGUCCUUAGUACGAGAGGACCGGGAUGGACGCACCGCUGGUGUACCAGUUGUCCCGCCAGGGGCAUCGCUGGGUAGCUAUGUGCGGACGGGAUAAGCGCUGAAAGCAUCUAAGCGUGAAGCCCCCCUCAAGAUGAGAUUUCCCACCGCGUUAGGCGGGUAAGAUCCCUCGAAGAUGACGAGGUCGAUAGGUCCGAGGUGGAAGCGUGGCGACACGUGGAGCUGACGGAUACUAAUCGAUCGAGGGCUUAACCUAG